GCUGGGCGUUGCCGCCGGAGAGGCGCUCGACGGGCAGGUCCGUGGAAGCAGCCACGAUCCUGAACUCCUCGAGUUUGCGCUGGGCCAAAUCGUUGAUCUUGCCGCGAUCGAGGAAUGGUCCGCGUCUGUAUUCCGGCUUACGCUGCCAGCCAAGUACCAGGUUCUCGGCAGUUCCGAACUCCGAGAUCAACCCUUCGCGGAAACGAUCGUCAGGCACGAGCCCGACACCCCU
rnacentral:sRNA from 1 species